rnacentral:rRNA from 1 species
GACGAACGCUGGCGGCGUGCUUAACACAUGCAAGUCGAGCGGAAAGGCCACUUCGGUGGUACUCGAGCGGCGAACGGGUGAGUAACACGUGAGUAAUCUGCCCCUGGCUUUGGGAUAGCCACCGGAAACGGUGAUUAAUACCGGAUACGACCACUUCUCGCAUGGGAUGGUGGUGGAAAGUUUUUUCGGCCAGGGAUGUGCUCGCGGCCUAUCAGCUUGAUGGUGAGGUAAUGGCUCACCAUGGCUUCGACGGGUAGCCGGCCUGAGAGGGUGACCGGGCACACUGGUACGGGGACACGGCCCAGACUCCUACGGGAGGCAGCAGUGGGGAAUAUUGGACAAUGGGCGGAAGCCUGAUCCAGCAACGCCGCGUGAGGGAUGACGGCCUUCGGGUUGUAAACCUCUUUCAGCAGGGACGAAGCGCAAGUGACGGUACCUGCAGAAGAAGCACCGGCCAACUACGUGCCAGCCGCCGCAGUAA